GUGGUUUCUGCUUCGUUAGCAAGCUUUGGUCAGGGUUCGUCCUGCGCUGCUGUUGCAGGCUGGUAGGUGGCUGUGUUAGAUGUUAAAAAUAUUGAAGAAUAUGCAGAAACUGAGAGCUGCUGAUAAAACCAAAUUUGCCAGAGUCUGCAGGCGGCACAGAAUGGAGGCCUAGGAGGAAUGUGCAAGAUGUUUUCGUGAAUGCUAAUUACUUCCAGAUGCACGGUCCUUGCAGCUACAGAGGAAAUAUUAGUUGUUCGUGAAUAUACUUCGUUCCAUCCUUAACAGCGUUGCCGGUGGGAGCGAAGCCUCCACCAGUGGCUGCUGCUCUCGACGGCGAUGCGCUCGGCCGCUGCUUUGGACGUGCAGCUGAUGGAAGCCAACGCUCCCAGUGUUUUGCACUGAAGGGAAGUUUGCUCGAAGCGGCAAAUUCCAAUUUUGUUAUCCCAGCGCGGUCCAGAGAAAAUCUGGGAUUUAGCGGUCGUGCCGCUAAAAUCACCGGACUGACUCCGCAUCGUGCCUGGGGGAAGGAGACUCGCCGGCCUCCCGUCGCUUCGCCGGGGCCCCGAGCCGCGGUGCCCACUCGGCACAGCUCCAUUUCUGCACAUGCGAUUUCAGAAGAAGCAGCUGCCUCUCGGCAGCAUCCAGGUUUGUCUCUGCUCCAGGCUCUGGGACUGCAGAAUGCACCCGCCUGAGCAUGCUGGCCCCGGGAGUGGACUGCGGUGGACGUUCAAGUGAUUAAGACAUUGGUGCCAGAGACCCUUUCCCUGUUUGUCCUCUGAAGCCAACAGUGCAGGGCUCGGGAGAGACACAGAAAAGAAGUUUGCUUUUACCAAGGUAAUGCAGGAGGGAGAGAGAGGUGAAGUGGUCUCCUUUCAGGUUCGAGCUAGCUGAGUCUCCACUCACCUGAGUUGCCAUUGAAAACUGGAACCCUUGCUAAAAGUUUCAAGAGAAAGGGGUGAGUUGGAAGGGAAGGUUUAAGUCUAGAAACACCAGGAAACCUGCCAUUUUUGCACAUUCCUAGGGACAUUUUGGGUGAGUGAGAUGGUAGGGCUUGGUCCAGACUCACUGCUCAAAAUCUUUUUCAAAGGCUGCGAACCUUUUUUCGGAGAACCAGAGAAGAGGCCCAUGCGGCUGUUUGUGGACAGCACCUGCCAAGUUCUGCCUCGCUGUGGUGGUGAGGGACUAAAUGCAAGCCGUGCUGGGGAAUCAGCACCUUUCCACAGCAAGUCUCAUGGGCCGUGGACUCCUAUUCCUGAUCAGUGGUAAUUCCUGGGUGAAAAACAUCCUUCUUUCAAGGUGAGCAUCUGGCUCUCAAGCCAGCAAGAAAAGGCUUGGGGGAUUUCCCAGCGGAUCAGUACUGGACAGAGAGUUCGGUCUGGCUGCAGCGUAUAAGAUUGCAAACGUGUGCCCUUAACUACAUGCAACACACUUGCUCUGAUCCCUCUGCUAAGGCGAAUGCUUUACACCACACCGGUACAUAAACAGGUGCCUUUUCCUUUCCACAAUAAGAAAUAUAAUUACCUGCUUUUGAACACAUGAGAAAAAAGUGUCCUGUAAUGUGCUGCUACAUGGCAUCACAAUCCUGGAGGGCCGAUCACUUUACAGGUAAGUAGCCUUCCCUGUCCUCACUCCCUGCUUCAGUAAUGGGCCCAGGUCCCCUCUCAGCGCCGCAGCACUGCUGUCUGCAGCCAGAUAACCGCGGUGCACAGGCAAGAGCCCUUGGCAGGUCACAAAGAGGAUAAAACCCACUCUAAAAUAAGGUGUUGCUCAGCUGUUAAAGAGCUUGUAGACUUGUGAAGAAAAAAAAAACCUGGAUCUCGUAGAUAAACCACAAUUUCUGUGGCUCCCAGAAGGUGUCCGCCUCUGAGCAAGACACUCCUGCUUUAUCUAGCUGUGUGCAGCUGUGGCAUCCUGCAUCUCCUGCCAGGGGAGGGGACCGCGAUAAGCAAAACUGAGUCUUCCUAAUCAGCAGAUGUCUUGGGCUCCUGGAGGACGCAGUCAUCUUCUUUGGGCAGAGGCUUAUGAAAGACAAGAGAGGAGCAUUUCACUUCACUUGAGAGUCUGAAAUAUUUAGGAAUAAUGUCUGUGUUUCUCGUUUCUCACUA